rnacentral:rRNA from 1 species
AUGGAAGUUCCUCCCAAAGUAAGAUGUUUCUGGUGGAGAGUUAUUCACAACUUUAUUCCGUGUCGUGUUGUGAUGCAACAUCGCCAUAUCGAGAAAAUACCUUACUGUGAGGACUGUGGUGUUGAAGAAACUACAUACCAUGCUCUAUUCACUUGCAAUUGGGCUCGCAGGUUCUGGGAGCAGAUGAAGGUACGCACUGGGAUUAAAAUUCCAAAUCUUCAUCCUGAUUCAUGGCCCCUUGAUAUGAUACAGGGAGGUAAGGUGGAUCACUUUUCAGCAUGUACGAUCUUAUGCGGGGCAUGGUCAGUUUGGUCUGAGCGCAAUGCCAGAAGACAUGGGGAGCAGCGACGAUCAAUUGCAAAAUCUAUCCAGUGGGCAAUAGAUAUUGCAGUAGAUUUAUCACAACUUGGGAAGGAACAACAAAAGUCAAGUCCGCGGGUGCAGGCUCGCUGGAAGCCACCGGAUGAAAAUGUUCUAAAACUGAAUGUGGAUGCUCAGUAUGGGGAGGCUGCAGGUCAUGGGGUACCGGAUGUGUUGUCCAUGAUACAAAUGGGAACCUUACUCGGGCACAAUCCAGAUGGUAUGAAUUUGCCGCUUCUGCUACAAUGA